GACGAACCACACAAACGUUAUUCGGAAUUACUGGGCUUAAAGGGUGCGUAGGCUGUGCAGAAAGUUAGGUGUGAAAUCCCCCGGCUCAACCGGGGAAUAGCGCUUAAAACUACUGUGCUAGAGGAAUACAGAGGUAAGCGGAACUUCGGGUGGAGCGGUGAAAUGCGUUGAUAUCCGAAGGAACACCGGUGGCGAAAGCGGCUUACUGGGUAUUUUCUGACGCUGAUGCACGAAAGCUAGGGGAGCAAACGGG
rnacentral:rRNA from 1 species